rnacentral:rRNA from 1 species
AUUGAACGCUGGCGGCAGGCUUAACACAUGCAAGUCGAACGAGUGGCGGACGGGUGAGUAAUGUCUGGGAAACUGCCUGAUGGAGGGGGAUAACUACUGGAAACGGUAGCUAAUACCGCAUACCAUCAGAUGUGCCCAGAUGGGAUUAGCUAUUAGGUGGGGUAAUGGAUCAUCUAGGCGCCGAUCCCUAGCGGGUCUGAGAGGAUGACCAGCCACACUGGAACUGAGACACGGUGCAGACUCCUACGGGAGGCAGCAGUGGGGAAUAUUGCACAAUGGGCGCAAGCCGGAUACAGCCAUGCCGCGUGUGUGAAGAAGGCCUUCGGGUUGUAAAGUACUUUCAGCGAGGAGGCGUUACCCGCAGAAGAAGCACCGGCUAACUCCGUGCCAGCAGCCGCGGUAAUUC